UGAAUGACUCUCGGCAACGGAUAUCUCGGCCCUCGCAUCGAUGAAGAACGUAGCAAAAUGCGAUACGUGGUGUGAAUUGCAGAAUCCCGCGAACCAUUGAGUCUUUGAACGCAAGUUGCGCCCGAGGCUUUCCCGCCGAGGGCACGCCUGCCUGGGCGUCACGC
rnacentral:rRNA from 1 species